rnacentral:rRNA from 1 species
AUUGAACGCUGGCGGCAGGCCUAACACAUGCAAGUCGAACGGUAACAGGAAGCAGCUUGCUGCUUCGCUGACGAGUGGCGGACGGGUGAGUAAUGUCUGGGAAACUGCCUGAUGGAGGGGGAUAACUACUGGAAACGGUAGCUAAUACCGCAUAACGUCGCAAGACCAAAGAGGGGGACCUUAGGGCCUCUUGCCAUCGGAUGUGCCCAGAUGGGAUUAGCUAGUAGGUGGGGUAACGGCUCACCUAGGCGACGAUCCCUAGCUGGUCUGAGAGGAUGACCAGCCACACUGGAACUGAGACACGGUCCAGACUCCUACGGGAGGCAGCAGUGGGGAAUAUUGCACAAUGGGCGCAAGCCUGAUGCAGCCGUGCCGCGUGUAUGAAGAAGGCCUUCGGGUUGUAAAGUACUUUCAGCGGGGAGGAAGGGAGUAAAGUUAAUACCUUUGCUCAUUGACGUUACCCGCAGAAGAAGCACCGGCUAACUCCGUG